rnacentral:pre_miRNA from 1 species
CUCGGGGGGGGGGGGUCCUCAGCCCGGAUUGUGAGAGGGCGCAGGCCAGGCUGAGGGACCCCACCUGUGCACG